CCAGAAGUGAUGAGAGAACAACUUGGGUAACUUUCUAACAGUUUUUUUUUUCCAGUCCUAAGUAUCAUGAGUGUGAGCCAAAAGGUGCAAGUGAGGAUCCUGCUAGAUUUGGCUACUUGGUGGCUGGCUUGGCUUAGAAGGGCUACCCACUGGGGUGACGUGGCAAUGAUCCCUACAUUCUGAACUUUGGGCUGGGAAAGUUUUAUUGGAAUGCUGUUGUGUUUGUCUACCCUUGUAACUAUGACAGAGUCUGGAUAAUUUACAAAGAGCAUGGGUUUAUUUCUCAAAGUUCUGAGACUAGGAAAGCCAAGGCCAAACCAGUGCUAUCUGCUGGGCACCUCCUUGCUCCUUGCUGUGUUCUCAAAUGCAGGAGUGGCCCUAUCCCA
rnacentral:lncRNA from 1 species